GCGGAUGUGGUGGAACUGGUAGACACGUCAGACUUAGGAUCUGAUGCCGCGAGGUGUGCAGGUUCGAUUCCUGUCAUCCGCACAA
rnacentral:tRNA from 7 species